GGCGAACGCUGGCGGCGUGCCUAAUACAUGCAAGUAGAACGCUGAAGUCUGGUGCUUGCACCGGAUGGAUGAGUUGCGAACGGGUGAGUAACGCGUAGGUAACCUGCCUUGUAGCGGGGGAUAACUAUUGGAAACGAUAGCUAAUACCGCAUAACAAUGGAUGACACAUGUCAUUUAUUUGAAAGGGGCAAUUGCUCCACUACAAGAUGGACCUGCGUUGUAUUAGCUAGUAGGUGAGGUAAUGGCUCACCUAGGCGACGAUACAUAGCCGACCUGAGAGGGUGAUCGGGCCACACUGGGACUGAGACACGGGCCCAGACUCCUACGGGAGCAGCAGUAGGGAAUCUUCGGCAAUGGGGGCAACCCUGACCGAGCAACGCCGCGUGAGUGAAGAAGGUUUUCGGAUCGUAAAGCUCUGUGUAAGUCAA
rnacentral:rRNA from 1 species